rnacentral:rRNA from 1 species
UACGAAGGGGCUAGCGUUGCUCGGAAUUACUGGGCGUAAAGCGCACGUAGGCGGCUUUCUAAGUCGGGGGUGAAAUCCUGGAGCUCAACUCCAGAACUGCCUUCGAUACUGGAGAGCUUGAGUCCGGGAAGGUAGAGUGGAACUGCGAGUGUAGAGGUGAAAUUCGUAGAUAUUCGCAAGAACACCAGUGGCGAAGGCGGCUCACUGGCCCGGUACUGACGCUGAGGUGCGAAAGCGUGGGGAGCGAACAGG